rnacentral:rRNA from 1 species
UACGUAGGGUGCAAGCGUUGUCCGGAAUUAUUGGGCGUAAAGAGCUCGUAGGCGGUUUGUCGCGUCUGCUGUGAAAACUCGGGGCUCAACCCCGCGCUUGCAUUCGAUACGGGCAGGCUCGAGUUCGGUAGGGGAGUCUGGAAUUCCGGGUGUAGCGGUGGAAUGCGUAGAGAUCCGGAAGAACACCGGUGGCGAAGGCGGCCUGCUGGGCAGUAGCUGACGCUGAGGCGCGACAGCGUGGGGAGCAAACAGG